rnacentral:rRNA from 1 species
UGGGGAAUAUUGCGCAAUGGGGGAAACCCUGACCCAGCAACGCCGCGUGAAGGAUGAAGUAUUUCGGUAUGUAAACUUCGAAAGAAUAGGAAGAAUAAAUGACGGUACUAUUUAUAAGGUCCGGCUAACUACGUGCCAGCAGCCGCGGUAAUACGUAGGGACCAAGCGUUGUUCGGAUUUACUGGGCGUAAAGGGCGCGUAGGCGGCAUGACAAGUCACUUGUGAAAUCUCUGGGCUUAACCCAGAACGGCCAAGUGAUACUGUCGCGCUAGAGUGCAGAAGGGGCAAUCGGAAUUCUUGGUGUAGCGGUGAAAUGCGUAGAUAUCAAGAGGAACACCUGAGGUGAAGACGGGUUGCUGGGCUGACACUGACGCUGAGGCGCGAAAGCCAGGGGAGCAAACAGGAUUAGAUACCCCCGUAGUCCCUGAGCGGGCUGGCAAGGCG